UAUAAGCCCAGCUGCUUGGGAGGCCGAAGCAGGAGGAUCAUAAGUUUGAGGCCAACUUGGGCAGCUUAGUGAGAAAAUAAAAAGGCCUGUAGCUGAAGCUUAGAACUUGUCUAGCUUGUGAGAGGCCCUGGGUUCAUCCUCGGUCACACCAAAAAAAAAAAAAAAAGAAAAAAAAGUUUGCAAGUCUGUAAAGGAAAUCCAGAAAAGAUGAGAAAAAGUUGACGGUUGUUCAUACACAAGUGAGCUCUAGGGGCCCGGGGCAGUCACAUGCCUAUUUUGUGUGUGGCUGGCAGGUCCCCAGUCAGCCCCCCAGGGGGUUUCAUGGCAGAGAUCCUCUCGUGAGAUGUCUUCCUGGCACCUCGGAGGGUGGGUUUCUGUCAAGCCCCCUCAGCACGGCAGCACGGCCGUUCUCUCCACACCCUCUUCAGCGAGACCUGGACCUCAGCUCGGGCCUCGCUCUUGGGCAUCCCAGCCCCUGGGUGAUGGCUGCUCUUACACCUGCUGUUCAUACGGCCAGUUGUUCGACCCGACCUGGCUACAGGCACUGAGUCUGCACUAGCCUUGCCUGUUCAGGUCACGGCUUAUUAGACUCAGACAAAUGUGCAGCUCCUCAGAAGCAAGUGUCAAUCAUGGGUGGACCUUUCAGAGAGGUGACUCUAUCCUGGCCUGUCUCCAAAGGCGAACAUAGCACAGGGCCACAACACAAGAGACUGGGUUCUAGAUCUUAUCUUGCUCCCAAGUAUGGGACUCAGAGGGUGGGGACCUCCCAGGCCACCCAUUUCCGCAUCUGUAAGCUGCAGAAGGUAAUGGACCACAUGGUCUUCUUAUUGGUUAGAGUAAAAGCUAAGCUGCUGGAACAAAGGGACAGUUACCUGCUGGAUUAGAGCACAUAGAGGUUUACUAUCUCUCAAAUAAGGGCCCUCAGAUGAGGGUCCGGACAGGUCUGCUCUGCUCCACACGGCCAUCCACCUCUCUUGCUGCUUUGCUGUCACAUGGAUGUCACUGUCAACCUGUGGUUCAUGAGAAGGUGAAGACCAGGGAGGAGCACAUACUCAUGUGAUGAGGCCUGGAGUGGAGUCUGUCACCUCUGCUGACCUUCCAGGGAGGGGAGGGGGAGGACACCUAGUCACCUGGCCACACUGACCUGCAGUGCAGGCUGGGAAAUGGAAUGUCCAGGAGAGCAGCCCGGGGUAGGUAACCACAGCUCGAUCACACAGAUACAGUGAAGGGGUGCUGGGGGCAAGUAUCAAUGUCCACCACCCGUCACAGCUCCGCCAGGCUCCCCCCCAUCUCAGAGCGCAAUUCCACAUAAACUGCCUGUGCUGAUGGCUAGGGAAGGACUUGGGAGAGGAGGGGAAUCCACGCCUCAUCAUUUUGCUUUUGUAUUUUAGAAUCAAGAUCCAUAGAGCUUGCAAGGAAGUUCUUUUAAUGCUGAGAAGUAAGAAGGUGGCAGAUGUGACUGUCAAAACAGUCCUUGCGCAUCUGCUACAGAAUUCAGAUUUCCCCUCCAACCAACAAAUUAGAACCAUCUGGGAUUUGAAACGCCUGAGCUAAGGCUUCCUGGGUCUGUUUGCAUAGGGAGCGAUGAUGACAGUUAGGAAAACGGUAAGUCAGUGUGGAGGGACCUCUCUCCUGUGCCGAGUGGAAGGGAGGCUCAGCGUCUUCACAUGGCUGACUCUGGUGCCAGGCCGAUUAAAGACUGAGGGUCAUGUGACCCGUCAUCCAUGGUUUGUCCCUUACCUGUCCCCAAAACCCAGUGUUAAGUCUUAGUCUCCAGGUUGGUGCUGCGGGAGGUCAGGCCUAGUGGGACAGCGUUAGGUUCCUGGGGACAUGCCUUAGAAGAGGAUAUGACACAGUACUACCCUCCUUGUUACCAUUGCUUCCUGUCCUUGAAGUGAGCAGUUUUGCUUUGCCAUCUGAUCCCUCCACAAUGUGUUAUAACCUCCCCCACCAAAGGCCUAAAAGCAAUCUUCCCAAUCAGGGACUGGUGUUCCUUAAACCCCAGCCAAAGUGAAACUUUUCUCUUUAUAAGUUAAUUACUCAGGUAUUUUCUUAGAGUGAUAAAAAGCUAACACACCAUCUUCAGUACUCAAAUGUGCUAGGCACUGUUCUAAGAGUUUUGAAAGGAUCAUUCUUCUAAUCCUCACAAAAAUAUCUUGACUAAGAUCUGUCAUGUUCAUUUUAGCGAUGUGGAAGUGAAGGCAGAGAAUGGGGAAAUAAAGUCAUUUAUUUCCUCAAGUUGAACAGCUAGUAAGUAGUGCAUCUAGGAUUCAAAGUUAGAUAAUUUGACUCCAGAAUCCGUGUCAGGGACCUGCAGCCCCCCUCUGUAGAGCAUCAGAUAAUAAAUAUUUGGGCUUUGCAGGUUUCUGGUGGUCUCUGUGGUGACAACUCUGUAGGGGGAAAGUAGCCAUUGGCAAUGAGGAAACCGUGAAGCUGUUAUUGAUGAACACUGAAGUCAGAAGUUCAUAGAAUCUCAUGUGUCACGAAACAUUAUGCUUCUCUUGUUUUUCAGCUGUUUAGAAAUGCAAAAGCCACUCUCAGCUCCUGGCCCUUGUUUGCUGACCUCCGACGAUGCAAUUGACCUUGACACGCUUUCAUGCUUCAGACACUGAUCCACACCUGCUGAGGAUCGUGGUCCCAGGCGCUGUGCCGGCCGGCGCUCCAGGCCUCCAUGACUUGCCAUCUUCCUCUGGGAGGCAGGUCCUGUUCCCGUCAUUGCACUAGUCUUCUAGGCAUGACCGGCGGCAGAGAGGCCACUGCCACACAAGGGCGGGAGGAAGAGGUCGCUGUGCCCAACGCUCCCAAGAUUCCCAGGGGGAUGCUCUGGCCGGAGGUGAGCAAGCUGAGGGGUGCGCUGAGGACGGCACUCGGCACUUCCCCACUGGGCUCCCACCAGCUCGUUCCCAGGACGCUGUCCUUCCACGGCCCAGCCAGGACUGGGCGCUGUCUGUCCGUCAGGAGGGCCUGCAGGCAGACCUGGGUCACGCUGGCUGCGGGAUGAUGUGCUGCUGCGGCCUGUGACGUGGGUUUCCUGGGAUGGAUCAGGGGAACGUGGGCCUUCCCCAGAUGCCUGUGGUGCAGCCCUGAGCCCUGGCAGCCUGGGUGAGCUCCCUUCUGAGCCAUGGGCGCUCGGUUCCCAGUCCCCCUCUGGACUGGCAUCCUGGGCUGCCACCACACAGUUCCACAAACAGCUUGGAGGCAGCACAGUUCCAGAGGCUGGAAGUCCAAGUCAGGGUCUUGGCAGGGCCUGUCCCCUCCCAAGGCCCCAAGGAGGAGUCCUUCCUGCCUCUUCCAGUUUCCGGUGACGCUGGCAACCCGCGCAUUCCUUGGCUUGGGGGUGCACCAUUCAUGGCCCUGGGGGUUAAGGGGUAGAGCACUUGCAUAGUGUGCAGAGGCCCUGAAUCUGAUCCUAACACAGCAAACGUCAAUCAAUCAAAUCAGUCAAAAGAGGCCUGGGGGGAGGCCCAAUGACACUGGAUGGGAACCACACUCUCGUGCUGAGUCAGCAAAAUCAACUCACAUGGAGAGUGGACAGAUUGGAACAAUACUCAGUAUAAAAAUGGGUUACGUUAAGAGCUUUGCAGACUUUUAAAAAUCUUAACUCCUGCUGGGGGUAGUGACAUAUACUUGUAGUCUCAGUUUCUUGGGAGGCUGUGGCAGGAGGAUCUCAAGUUAGAGGCCAGCCUCAGCAACUUAGCGAUCUUGUCUCAAAAUAAAAGUAACAAAGGAUUGGGGAUGCAACUCAGUGGUAGAAUGCUUCAAAUGCAAAGCCAUGGGUCCAAUCUGUAGCACCCCACCCCCCACAAAAAGACCAUCAAAAAGAAAAAAACAAAGCCAGGUGAGCAGAAUUUAUGAACUCCACCAUCAUCGUAUGGGCCUCCUGCCAUAUAUGUGCCCACUGGUGACUGGAAUGUCAUGGUGCCAUGCAUGAAUAUAUUUAAAUAAAAGAUUUCAUGAAUGAUUAA